rnacentral:rRNA from 1 species
UACGUAGGGGCAAGCGUUGUCCGGAAUUACUGGGCGUAAAGGGCGUGUAGGCGGCCAUAUAUGUCAGAUGUGAAAUGCCACGGCUCAACCGAGGCACUGCAUAUGAAACUGUAUGGCUUGAGUGCAGGAGAGGGAAGUGGAAUUCCUAGUGUAGCGGUGAAAUGCGUAGAUAUUAGGAGGAACACCAGUGGCGAAGGCGGCUAUCUGGACAGUAACUGACGCUGAGGCGCGAAAGCGUGGGGAGCAAACAGGA